CCCAACAAAGAACAUGAAACAAUAUAAUUAAAAAAAUACCAUCUUUAUGAAAUAUAUCCACAGCUCAGGCAAUUUCACAUCAACAAAAAAGUAAACAAUUACAAUUUUUAUUGGUUGAUAAAUUACAUCAUCAGAAGCAGGUGUUGUAAACUCAAAAGCUCCAUAAAUUGCCAAAAAUCUUCAACCCAACCAUAUUCCACUCAUAUUAACAAAACUACAUCAGAAAACCAAUUCUAACUAAACAAUUAAUCUAAAAUACCUCAUUUAACUUGUCUAAGGUUGCAACGGCAUUUGCUUCUUGCGUUUGCCAAAAACUCGCGCAAACAUGGUUAAUUGACCUCUACGAUUUACUCUAAUAGACUCAAAAUUAUUCACAAAGCCUGCAAAACAAAAAUUAACAAAAAACUUCAAUCGGAUUAUUCUACCGAUCUGCUAAUACAUACACCAAUUGAUAUAUAUUAUAUGUAUGUAUACGUACCUGAAAUACAAAGGAAAUAGAUGUGAGCUGUGAAUUAAUCCGCACUCAAUUCGAUUAUUCUGGUUGUUCUUCAUUUUUCUGUCACUUAGAAUUACAAUCUGUUGUAAGAGAAAUUAUGGAAUCAAAAGCAUCUCAAAGAUACUCACCAGUUAACUUCGUCGGCAACAAAAAUCGAACGAUCGAAUUGCUCCAUCCUUCAUCCUCUGCCGCCAUUGAUAUCGUUUAUGGCUGUGAGUUGUUGUUGCAACCCAAUUCUAGGGUUUUAUGGGAUGGGGAGGAGAUCGAGAGAAGAGGAAGAAGAAAAUAAUUGCAAAAAGUAGAGAAACUGAAAUUGGAAGAAGAAAAGGGGGAGAAAAAUGAAACAUUCUUGAAAGAAUUGGAAAAGGCGUAUAAAAAAUAAUGUACUUCUUCAAUAGAACCGAGUUAACUCAGUAAAUUAAGUGGGAUUGACUCACCGAAUUUUGAAAUUGAUUGUCAAUUGUUUCAAAUUAAUUGGUUGUGCUGUAUUUAUAUAUAUGGAUUGAUGGAUUGAAGAGUAGUCACGUGAGAGAGUGUCAAACCAAGGAACUCAACCCAAGUGGUUAAAUACCGUUGCCCUUAUUUUCCCCUCUCCGUGUAUUUCUCUCUAUAACACACACUGACACUACAUUCUUCCUAAAUAUAGCCAAAAAUCACCAUCCAUUCUUUAUUAAGGUGUCCUAUUUUCCCAAAAUCAAAUAAACAAAUGCAGAUUCUCAUCCAAAUAUAAUAUAACAACUUACUUGUCUCAAUUUUUGGUUGAACGGCCGUGAUGGGGAGGUCAAGGUCCAUCCCCGGAAAACCGAUCACCGCCGGAUUUCACAAUCGCCGCCUCCACGGGGUCGGCCGCCUCGUCCUUCUCCACCUGCCUAUCAGUCAUACACGAAGUGGUUACCUUUGAUGGCCCCAAUCAUAGCUAUGGCUAACAUUGUCCUUUUCAUAGUUGCAAUGUACCAAAAUAAUCUUUCCAGCCCACCCGCGAUAAUCCUCUCCUUGGUCCUUCUGCCAAAACGUUAGUCCCUAUAAUUCUUUUUUAUCACUAUGAGAAAAUCUUUGAAGUUUUUUUUUUCACACUAAUGUGUUGUUAUGAUGCAGCAUUUUUUUUGGGGGUUUGGACAUCUUAAAUUUG
rnacentral:lncRNA from 1 species